rnacentral:rRNA from 1 species
UACGUAGGGGGCGAGCGUUGUCCGGAGUUACUGGGCGUAAAGGGCACGCAGGCGGUGCGGCGCGUUUCGCGUGACAGCGGAGGGCUUAACUCUCCGAGGAUGCGAAAGACGGCGGCACUUGAGGGCCAGAGAGGGACACGGAAUUCCGGGUGGAGUGGUGAAAUGCGUAGAGAUCCGGAGGAACACCGAAGGCGAAGGCAGUGUCCUAGCUGGUGACUGACGCUGAGGUGCGAAAGCUAGGGGAGCGAACGGG